GCCAGCCCGCUCAAGAACUCAAAGGAAUUGACGGGGCCGCACAAGCGGAGGAGCAUGUGGUUAAUUCGAUGAUACGCGAGGAACCUUACCUGGGCUCGAACGUAAGAUGACUGUAGGUGAAAGCUUACAUCUCUUCGGAGCAUUUUACGAGGUGCUGCAUGGUUGUCGUCAGCUCGUGCCGUGAGGUGUCGGGUUAAGUCCCAUAACGAGCGCAACCCCUACCUUUAGUUGCCAUCAGGUUAAGCUGGGGACUCUAAAGGAACUGCCUACGCAAGUAGUGAGGAAGGCGGGGAUGACGUCAAAUCAGCACGGCCCUUACGUCCAGGGCUACACACGUGCUACAAUGGCCGAUACAGAGGGCAGCUACCUGGUGACAGGAUGCAAAUCUCCAAAGUCGGUCUCAGUUCGGAUCGGAGUCUGCAACCCGACUCCGUGAAGUUGGAUUCGCUAGUAAUCGCGCAUCAGCCAUGGCGCGGUGAAUACGUUCCCGGGCCUU
rnacentral:rRNA from 1 species